rnacentral:rRNA from 1 species
AUGGAUAUACAAACUUAUUGCAACAGCUUACCUAAAGAGGCAUACUUGGAGGAUCAAAGGAAACCUGAAUGGUUUGAAGUAGAUCGUGCCAUUGCAUGCCGCCGGAAGUUUGGUUAUGAUGGUUUAUGUGACGUCCUGGCUAGUUUUGAUAAUAAUGCAGAUUUUGAGGGAUACGAGUUCCUCGUGAAAUGGAAAGGACUUGACUAUUGUGAUGCUACAUGGGAGCCGUAUUUCACGGAAGGCGUGCCAUCAGCUGUUUCUAUGCUUGUCCAAAGGCAUAAAAAUACUGUACGAAGCCCGAUGAACAUUGAUGUGAUGGUCCCAGAAAAUGCACUAUACAAUUACCAGGUUCAAGGGUUACAAUGGAUUCUUGACAAUUUCAAAUCUAGGAGGAGCGUUAUUCUUGCUGAUGAAAUGGGUCUUGGCAAAACUGUCCAAGUUGUUUGCUUUCUCAACCGCAUAAUCAAGGGAAGUCUGACCACAUCUCCUGCAUUGGUCAUUGUUCCCAAGAGCAUCCUACUGCAAUGGGAAAAGGAAUUUGAUCGCUGGGCACAUGAUCUUAGUAUUGUUGUUUACCAAGGAGAUAAGGACUCCAGAAAGUGUAUUCAAGCUCAUGAACUGUACUCUUCCAAAGGGAAGACUCUGUUUGAUGCUCUAGUGACAAGUUAUGAGAUUGUCCAAAUUGAUAAAGCAGUUCUAAAAAAGAUUAAGUGGUCAACGAUUGUCAUUGAUGAGGCUCACAGAUUGAAGACGCUUGAUUGUAAUCUUGCAUCCUGCCUAAAGAAAUUUAGCUCAGAUUUCUGGUUGCUACUUACAGGAACACCAUUCCAAAAUAACGUCCUGGAGUUGUUUUCAUUGCUUCAUUAUAUUGAUCCAAAUGAGUUCUCUGACCCAAAGGAUGAUCCAUUGUUCUCACCAAUUGAAUCUGAGCGGGGUCUGACAAUAGAUGAAAAAAUUGCCCGCAUUCCUGAGAUUUUAAAGCCUAGGAUGUUGAGGAGAUUGAAAGCUAAUGUGCUAAAAGAUUCUAUGCCAACAAAAAAGUGGGUAGAAGUUCCGUGUGCGCUCACAGAUUCUCAGAGAGAUCUUUACAUUAAUAUUCUAGAGAAGAACUACUCAGAGUUGAACAGUGCUAUUCAGGAUGGUACGAAGCGUUCUCUGAACAACGUACUAAUGGAACUGCGAAAAUGCUGCAAUCAUCCGUAUUUGUUUACAGGAUUGGAUGUUAAACAACAUGCAGGAGAAGAUGUUCUCCAAUCACUAGUUUCUGCAUCAGGGAAACUUCAACUCUUACAGAAGUUGCUCCCAAAAUUGAAAGAGAGAGGGAACCGUGUAUUGAUUUUCUCCCAGAUGAAGAAGAUGCUUGAUAUUCUCGAGGACUUCCUUUCUUUCCUGGGAUACACAUAUGCACGCAUUGAUGGACAGACAACACUCUUUGAGAGGCAGGAGAGCAUAAAAGAAUACAACAACGCUGAAAGUGGAACAUUUAUUUUCUUGAUGUCAACUCGUGCUGGUGGUAUAGGUAUUGACCUGCCUGGUGCUGAUAGAGUAAUUAUAUAUGAUCCAGACUUCAAUCCAUUUAUGGACUUGCAAGCACAGUCCAGGGCUCACCGGAUUGGCCAGACCCGACCGGUGGUUGUUUACCAGCUUAUCACAAAAUGUUCUGUUGAAGCGAAGAUAUUGCAGAAGUCUAAGCAGAAGCUGGCCAUUGAAAAUAUUUUAAUGAACUCUUCCAAGAAGCCGCCAAGUGCAGAUGAGCUGAAGUCCAUUCUACUACAUGGAGCCAAGAUAAUUCAGGACAAAAAGGAGAUUAAAGCUGUAUCAAUCCAUUAUGAUGACGAUGCCAUUGAGAAUCUCCUCAAGCUAGACCCUUCUAGUGAUGAGAUGUGCACUAAAGAUGGCAACGGUUAUCUCGGUGGCAUCGAGAGCUUUCCUCAUGGUGCCGAGGACGUAGUACCUCCCUCCCCCAAGGUUGAGGAUUUAAAAGUAUUCAAGCCUGCCACUCCCAAGGUGGAUCUUGGCCGCGGGAGAAGGCACAGGAACGUCGUGAAGUAUUUCGAGGAGACGGACAAUGAAGACAGCGAUGACAUCUACGCUCCAGAGGCUUCCUCCGAGUCCAGUAGCUCUUCCUCUGAUGAUGAAACAGAUGAAGAAAUUCCUGAAGUAGCACGAGCUAGAACUGAAAUAGACAUGAAAGCUGAAACAGUGAGCGUUGUGAAGCCAGAAGUAGCUCCCAUUCCUGGCAACCCCUUUGACUUCCUCAGAGUCAGAGUCCGGCAGCUCUUCCUCGGAUGA